rnacentral:tRNA from 1 species
CAGUUGGUAGUUUAAAAAAAAUUUUAUUUUUGGGGAGUAAAGAUCUAUUAUUUAGCUAAUUGGC